rnacentral:rRNA from 1 species
GAUGAACGCUAGCGGCAGGCCUAACACAUGCAAGUCGAGGGGUAGAAAGAGCUUGCUUUUUUGAGACCGGCGCACGGGUGAGUAACGCGUAUGCAACCUACCUUAUACAGGGGAAUAGCCCGAAGAAAUUCGGAUUAAUGCUCCAUGGUUUAUCGAUAUGGCAUCGUAUUGAUAAUAAAGAUUUAUCGGUAUAAGAUGGGCAUGCGUAUCAUUAGCUAGUUGGUGUGGUAACGGCAUACCAAGGCAACGAUGAUUAGGGGUCCUGAGAGGGAGAUCCCCCACACUGGUACUGAGACACGGACCAGACUCCUACGGGAGGCAGCAGUGAGGAAUAUUGGUCAAUGGAGGCAACUCUGAACCAGCCAUGCCGCGUGCAGGAUGACGGUCCUAUGGAUUGUAAACUGCUUUUGUACAGGAAGAAACCUCCCUACGAGUAGGGACUUGACGGUACUGUAAGAAUAAGGAUCGGCUAACUCCGUGCCAGCCGCCGCCGUAACAC